rnacentral:rRNA from 1 species
GACGAACGCUGGCGGCGUGCUUAACACAUGCAAGUCGAACGGAAAGGCCCCUUUGGGGGUACUCGAGUGGCGAACGGGUGAGUAACACGUGAGUAACCUGCCCUUGACUUCGGGAUAACUUCAGGCAACUGGGGCUAAUACCGGAUAGGAAUCCUUGCUGCAUGGUGGGGGUUGGAAAGCUUCGGCGGUUUUGGAUGGACUCGCGGCUUAUCAGCUUGUUGGUGGGGUAGUGGCUUACCAAGGCUUUGACGGGUAGCCGGCCUGAGAGGGCGACCGGCCACAUUGGGACUGAGAUACGGCCCAGACUCCUACGGGAGGCAGCAGUGGGGAAUAUUGCACAAUGGGCGGAAGCCUGAUGCAGCAACGCCGCGUGCGGGAUGACGGCCUUCGGGUUGUAAACCGCUUUCAGCAGGGGCGAAGCGUUUGUGACGGUACCUGCAGAAGAAGCACCGGCUAACUACGUG